rnacentral:lncRNA from 1 species
AAGCAUGGCUUUAAAUAGCCUUACAAAUAACAGAACGUGUAAAGAGAAAGAGAUAACUCCUCCUUAUAAUUAGGAAGGACUGGGUUACAGCAAAAACUAAUUCAAACUUAAAACAAACUUCUACUCCUAAUAUUUAGGAACUUUAUUAGCAACUAGAAAGACCAAUUCUAAAACACGUAACUCUCAACAAAUCCCUCCCAUAAACUAAACAUGCGUGCGGCAU